rnacentral:misc_RNA from 1 species
CGUGUUUACUGUACCUUAGUUGCUUCGGCGGGCCCGCCAUUCAUGGCCGCCGGGGGCUCUCAGCCCCGGGCCCGCGCCCGCCGGAGACACCACGAACUCUGUCUGAUCUAGUGAAGUCUGAGUUGAUUGUAUCGCAAUCAGUUAAAACUUUCAACAAUGGAUCUCUUGGUUCCGGCAUCGAUGAAGAACGCAGCGAAAUGCGAUAACUAGUGUGAAUUGCAGAAUUCCGUGAAUCAUCGAGUCUUUGAACGCACAUUGCGCCCCCUGGUAUUCCGGGGGGCAUGCCUGUCCGAGCGUCAUUGCUGCCCAUCAAGCACGGCUUGUGUGUUGGGUCGUCGUCCCCUCUCCGGGGGGGACGGGCCCCAAAGGCAGCGGCGGCACCGCGUCCGAUCCUCGAGCGUAUGGGGCUUUGUCACCCGCUCUGUAGGCCCGGCCGGCGCUUGCCGAACGCAAAUCAAUCUUUUUCCAGGUUGACCUCGGAUCAGGUAGGGAUACCCGCUGAACUUAAGCAUAUCAAUAAGCCGGAGGAA